rnacentral:tRNA from 1 species
GGAAGGAUGGCAGAGUGGUUGAUUGUACCGCCCUGGAAAGGCGGCAUGUCCGUUUAGGGCAUCGAGGGUUCGAAUCCCUCUCCUUCCGCCA